AAUAGCGGCCGGCUCCUCUAUCUAUUUUGUGUCCAGCCGGAGCCGCGCGCGAUGAUUCAUUGCCCCAAUUAGGGGCUCUCUCCAGCGCGCCCGGCUCAAGCCGUCUGAAGGGUCUCCUGGGGGACCCGCCGAAACCCAUCAGCGGCUGGAGCUGGUCUUUAAGUAAAGGUCAAGCAGGACGCGGGAGGAGCCAGACAGGAAAGAAGUCGCAUUGAGUGUUACGUUUUCAUCCAAAGGGGCCAAACAGGAUUCAGACCCAGGACAUCGGGCUCCAGGCCCUACUCUUGACCACCAGGGCGAGUAGCCGUGCGAGGCAAACGUCUGGUACACGUCGCAGGUCUGCUGAUGGGGACGGUCCAUGGCAGGACAAGGACAGGAUCCCUGGGUCCUCCCGGAUGAUAUGGCUCAGGCCCUGGUCCAAUCCAGGCAUCUCCAGACCUCUCAUUUCCCAUCUGUGAAAUGGCACCGCUUCCAGCUUCAAAAUUCUACAAGUCUCUGACUUCUGGGCCGUUUACAGCUUCCUCAUUUGCAAGCAGCAGCCCAGAGUCAGCCUGGGGACAAAGGUACCCGGUGGUCCCCUCCACCCUCUGGGACACUGAAAUGUAAAUAAAACUGGGCUUCCUCUUGGCAAGGAAGAGGGCCAUGCAUUGUAAAUAAAUGCAAGAAGAAGGCCUCCAGAUUCCCUGGGGGAUAUUCCAGGGCUUGAGGUCCAAGGGUUAACAGGAAAUCAUCAUUGGUUGGGACUUUGGGCCUUCACCCUGGCCCAGAGGAAUGCUGUGUCAGCAAAACUGUCCCGAAGGAAUGUUGGGGGCGGGGCAGGGGGCUUUUUGGCUCCUGGCAUUUUUAAUACCUGGAGAGCAGAGGAGGGCUGAUACGGAGAAGUUUAAAGGGCAGUGUCUGUUGAAUUGCAUCCUUGCACAGUUCAAGGGGGACUAUUAGGUCCCACACAGACUGAGAGGUUGCUAGUAAGGCACUGCCUGACUGGGGACAUGCAGGCCAGCAGGUGAGUUUAAUGUGGGUUCCUUAGGACUGGGACACAUGCUGUCCCUUCUGCUUCAAAUGCGUUUUGGGCUCAUCUGUAUGGCCAUGGCCACAGUGUCAUCCUCAGAGGCCUCCCUUUCCUCUCUAGAGCAGGUGCUGUGCCGUGCUUCUCCAUCCCAGCUCCCCAGCGCAGGAGUUUGCCAUUGACUUUAUUGAUUUUUCCGUCCACUGCUCCUGUCUGCGCCCAACACCCCCCCGGAACCCUGGUGCUCCCUCCCAAGGGCAGGAGCCAGGUCUGUCUUGCUCACUGGAGAUGCGGGGCCUGGCUCGGUGCCUUGGUCCCACAUACCUGGGUCUCAGUCCUGUUCCAUCCCUUGCCAGUUGUGUGAGCCUUGGGUGGACUUCUUAGCACACGGCCCCUCAGUUCUCUGCUCUGUACAAUGGGGGUUGUUAAAUAAAUAGAGAUUUGGGCGC
rnacentral:lncRNA from 1 species